ACUACUUUUAUUUUGACAUACAACCACAACGUGAACCAGAAUAAAAGAGCACUAGAUCCAAGACGGUUGUGUUUCUGUCAACAGGACGAAAAGUGUCAUCAUCUCUUGUUUAGUAUUAUAAGCUGUCGACUUCAAGAAAUCAAUGGCUCAGAAUAUCAAGCGAAUUGGUAUCUGUUUGAGUGGUGUGAAGAAGAUGGUUAUUGGAGGACGCCAGGGCCAAUUAGGUUUGGCACGAGCAGCGACAUCUGCUGCUAAAACUGAUGCAGCGUCUGCAACCGUAAGCUAUGGUGAACGAACUUACCUAUCAG